rnacentral:rRNA from 1 species
GACGAACGCUGGCGGCGUGCUUAACACAUGCAAGUCGAACGGAAAGGCCCUGCUUUUGUGGGGUGCUCGAGUAGCGAACGGGUGAGUAACACGUGAGUACCCUGCCCUUGACUUUGGGAUAACUUCAGGAAACUGGGGCUAAUACCGGAUAGGAGCUCCUACUGCAUGGUGGGGGUUGGAAAGUUUCGGCGGUUGGGGAUGGACUCGCGGCUUAUCAGCUUGUUGGUGGGGUAGUGGCUUACCAAGGCUUUGACGGGUAGCCGGCCUGAGAGGGUGACCGGGCACAUUGGGACUGAGAUACGGACCAGACGCCUACGGGAGGCAGCAGGCGGGAAUAUUGCACAAUGGGCGGAAGCCUGAUGCAGCAACGCCGCGUGCGGGAUGACGGCCUUCGGGUUGUAAACCGCUGUCGCCUGUGACGCAGCGUGAGUGACGGUAAUUGGUAAAGAAGCACCGGCUAACUACGUG